UACGUAGGGUGCGAGCGUUAAUCGGAAUUACUGGGCGUAAAGCGUGCGCAGGCGGUUAUUUAAGUCAGGUGUGAAAGCCCUGGGCUUAACCUAGGAAUUGCGCUUGAGACUGGAUAGCUUGGAGUGCGGCAGAGGGAGGUGGAAUUCCACGUGUAGCAGUGAAAUGCGUAGAUAUCAGGAGGAAUACCGAUGGCGAAGGCAGGUCUCUGGGCUAUAACUGACGCUCAUGCACGAAAGCGUGGGGAGCAAACAGG
rnacentral:rRNA from 1 species